GACGAACGCUGGCGGCGCGCCUAACACAUGCAAGUCGAACGGAGCUUAGAGAGCUUGCUUUUUAAGCUUAGUGGCGAACGGGUGAGUAACGCGUGAGUAACCUGCCCUAGAGUGGGGGACAACAGUUGGAAACGACUGCUAAUACCGCAUAAAGCCCACGGUACCGCAUGGCACUGAGGGAAAAGGAUUUAUUCGCUUUAGGAUGGACUCGCGUCCAAUUAGCUAGUUGGUGAGGUAACGGCCCACCAAGGCGACGAUUGGUAGCCGGACUGAGAGGUUGAACGGCCACAUUGGGACUGAGACACGGCCCAGACUCCUACGGGAGGCAGCAGUGGGGGAUAUUGCACAAUGGGGGAAACCCUGAUGCAGCGACGCCGCGUGGAGGAAGAAGGUUUUCGGAUUGUAAACUCCUGUCGUUAGGGACGAUAAUGACGGUACCUAACAAGAAAGCACCGGCUAACUACGUGCCAGCAGCCGCGGUAAAACGUAGGGUGCAAGCGUUGUCCGGAAUUACUGGGUGUAAAGGGAGCGCAGGCGGGAAGACAAGUUGGAAGUGAAAACCAUGGGCUCAACCCAUGAAUUGCUUUCAAAACUGUUUUUCUUGAGUAGUGCAGAGGUAGAUGGAAUUCCCGGUGUAGCGGUGGAAUGCGUAGAUAUCGGGAGGAACACCAGUGGCGAAGGCGGUCUACUGGGCACCAACUGACGCUGAGGCUCGAAAGCAUGGGUAGCAAACAGGAUUAGAUACCCUGGUAGUCCAUGCCGUAAACGAUGAUUACUAGGUGUUGGGGGAUUGACCCCCUCAGUGCCGCAGGUAACACAAUAAGUAAUCCACCUGGGGAGUACGACCGCAAGGUUGAAACUCAAAGGAAUUGACGGGGGCCCGCACAAGCAGUGGAGUAUGUGGUCUAAUUCGAAGCAACGCGAAGAACCUUACCAGGUCUUGACAUCCGAUGCAUAACACAGAGAUGUGUGAAAUCCUUCGGGACAUCGAGACAGGUGGUGCAUGGUUGUCGUCAGCUCGUGUCGUGAGAUGUUGGGUUAAGUCCCGCAACGAGCGCAACCCUUAUUGCCAGUUACUACGUUAAGAGGACUCUGGCGAGACUGCCGUUGACAAAACGGAGGAAGGUGGGGAUGACGUCAAAUCAUCAUGCCCUUUAUGACCUGGGCUACACACGUACUACAAUGGCGUUAAACAAAGAGAAGCAAGACCGCGAGGUGGAGCAAAACUCAAAAACAACGUCUCAGUUCAGAUUGCAGGCUGCAACUCGCCUGCAUGAAGUCGGAAUUGCUAGUAAUCGCGGAUCAGCAUGCCGCGGUGAAUACGUUCCCGGGCCUUGCAC
rnacentral:rRNA from 1 species